UAGGGAAUCUUCGGCAAUGGACGAAAGUCUGACCGAGCAACGCCGCGUGAGUGAAGAAGGUUUUCGGAUCGUAAAACUCUGUUGUUAGAGAAGAACAAGGACGUUAGUAACUGAACGUCCCCUGACGGUAUCUAACCAGAAAGCCACGGCUAACUACGUGCCAGCAGCCGCGGUAAUACGUAGGUGGCAAGCGUUGUCCGGAUUUAUUGGGCGUAAAGCGAGCGCAGGCGGUUUCUUAAGUCUGAUGUGAAAGCCCCCGGCUCAACCGGGGAGGGUCAUUGGAAACUGGGAGACUUGAGUGCAGAAGAGGAGAGUGGAAUUCCAUGUGUAGCGGUGAAAUGCGUAGAUAUAUGGAGGAACACCAGUGGCGAGGGCGGCUCUCUGGUCUGUAACUGACGCUGGGGCUCGAAAGCGUGGGGAGCAAACAGG
rnacentral:rRNA from 1 species